CAGUAGCCGCGGUAAUACGUAGGUGGUAAGCGUUGUCCGGAAUUAUUGGGCGUAAAGGGCUCGCAGGCGGUUUCUUAAGUCUGAUGUGAAAGCCCCCGGCUCAACCGGGGAGGGUCAUUGGAAACUGGGAAACUUGAGUGCAGAAGAGGAGAGUGGAAUUCCACGUGUAGCGGUGAAAUGCGUAGAGAUGUGGAGGAACACCAGUGGCGAAGGCGACUCUCUGGUCUGUAACUGACGCUGAGGAGCGAAAGCGUGGGGAGCGAACAGGAUUAGAGACCCCAGUAGUCCCUGUCUCUUAUAC
rnacentral:rRNA from 1 species